UACGUAGGGGGCAAGCGUUGUCCGGAAUCAUUGGGCGUAAAGAGCGUGUAGGCGGCUCGGUAAGUCCGCUGUGAAAGUCCAGGGCUCAACCCUGGAAUGCCGGUGGAAACUGUCGGGCUAGAGUCCGGAAGAGGCGAGUGGAAUUCCUGGUGUAGCGGUGAAAUGCGCAGAUAUCGGGAAGAACACCCGUGGCGAAGGCGGUUCUCUGGGACGGUACUGACGCUGAGACGCGAAAGCGUGGGGAGCGAACAGG
rnacentral:rRNA from 1 species